UACAGAGGUCUCGAGCGUUAGGCGGAAUCACUGGGCUUAAAGCGUGUGUAGGCGGAUCGGUAAGUACCUUGUGAAAUCCCACAGCUUAACUGUGGAACUGCUUGGUAUACUGCCAGUCUUGAGCCAGCUAGGGGCUACCGGAACAAAUGGUGGAGCGGUGAAAUGCGUAGAGAUCCGGAAGAACACCGGUGGCGAAGGCGGUCUGCUGGGCAGUAGCUGACACUGAGGCGCGACAGCGUGGGGAGCAAACAGGG
rnacentral:rRNA from 1 species